CUCGCUCCCCUUUAGAAUCAAUGCUUAAGAAAAGAACCGAGUCACUGUUCGUUGUUUUGAUUCACUUAAUCUCUGAAAAGCAGAGGAAACAGGCUUAAAAUAAGUAAUUUGAAAGCUGGGAGGUGUUUAAACUUUAAUAAAACGCUGAAAUUUAGUGAAUUUCCAUGUAAUCUGUGUGCUUUUUGGACGCUGUGAGGAAUUUACACUUGCCAUAGGUUAAGUGUGGAGUCGACUCAUUGAAUGAAUCAGUCCAUGAACCGUGCUGAUUCGAAUCAAAUGAUUCAAACAUUGUUUAGAAGCACGUGCGUGUAUAUACACAGCCACAGGGAAACUUAGUAUAUAGAGUAUAUAGAGACAACACAGAGCUCCCCUCAGAACCUGUAUUAUUCCUUAUACCUAGAACACGGGUUUGUGCUAAAAACUGAGAAAUAAAGCUGUAAACGAGUUACAGAAAGUUACUGUAAAGGAAACUUAAACAGAGCGCUUAUUAUUGAGUGUUUUCCACAGUGGAUUAAUUAAUCACGGAUCAUCACCAUAGUGACACAGCUGCAGUUCAUGAGGAAGGAGGUCCUAUUCUCACUCUAAAGAAGGAUUGGUCAACUGGCAUAGCCAUGGAGGUCUGUGAUAAAGGGCUCAAUCUGCUGGAGGAGAAGCGAACUUUUCAAGAACAUUUCGGGGACUGGAUUGGUGGUCCAAAAUGUAGCAGUUAACUCUGGAAUGAGUGGAUCCCAUAGUGUACAAAAACAAACAGAUGGCACAAAUGAAGGCAAGGGCUUUUACAGACGUUUCACCAGAACACCUUCUUAGUACAACACUCUGAAUCAAGACUCUACUCUGCUCAGAUCUGCAGGGCUGAAGGUAGAAGGCGUAGCGUCUCACAAGAUUCUCUUGUCCUACACUGAGACAAUACAGAAGCAGACAUGGCUGUGUUUUAUAGCAGCACCGAUCACACUGUGGUUCCAGAUGUAGAGGGCUGGCUCUCCUCAGCAGGGCAGGGAGUGUGCUGAAUGCCGUGCAUGGUGAGAAGAUCCUGGAGACGCGAUACAGUCUGCUGAAGCUCUGAACGCUCCUGCUGCAGAGAGCUGACCUCCAGACGAAGCUCCGCCUCGCUGCUGGCCAAACCUUCCACAUGAGACUCCAGAUAGCGGAUCCUGGCGUGGGCGACCUGAGAGAUAAGAGAGACAGGUCUAGGUUCUGCUGACGGAGGCUCCCAUUGGUCUUCUCCAGCUGAGCGGCGCGCUGGGAUUGGUUGAGAGUGGAAGGUCCGUC